rnacentral:rRNA from 1 species
AACGAACGCUGGCGGCAUGCCUAACACAUGCAAGUCGAACGAGACCUUCGGGUCUAGUGGCGCACGGGUGCGUAACGCGUGGGAACCUGCCCUUAGGUUCGGAAUAACUCCCCGAAAGGGGUGCUAAUACCGGAUAAUGUCUUCGGACCAAAGAUUUAUCGCCUUUGGAUGGGCCCGCGUUGGAUUAGCUAGUUGGUAGGGUAAAAGCCUACCAAGGCGACGAUCCAUAGCUGGUCUGAGAGGAUGAUCAGCAACACUGGGACUGAGACACGGCCCAGACUCCUACGGGAGGCAGCAGUGGGGAAUAUUGGACAAUGGGCGAAAUCCUGAUCCAGCAAUGCCGCGUGAGUGAUGAAGGCCUUAGGGUUGUAAAGCUCUUUUACCCGGGAUGAUAAUGACAGUACCGGGAGAAUAAGCUCCGGCUAACUCCGUG